rnacentral:rRNA from 1 species
UGCGAAUGGCUCAUUAAAUCAGUUAUCGUUUAUUUGAUAGUACCUUGCUACUUGGAUACCUGUGGUAAUUCUAGAGCUAAUACAUGCUAAAACCCUCGACUUCGGAAGGGGGGUAUUUAUUAGAUAAAAAACCAAUGCCCUUCGGGGCUCCCUGGUGAUUCAUAAUAACUCAACGAAUCGCAUGGCCUUGCGCCGGCGAUGGUUCAUUCAAAUUUCUGCCCUAUCAACUUUCGAUGGUAGAGUAGUGGUCUACCAUGGUUUCUACGGGUAACGGGGAAUUAGGGUUCUAUUCCGGAGAGGGAGCCUGAGAAACGGCUACCACAUCCAAGGAAGGCAGCAGGCGCGCAAAUUACCCAAUCCCGACACGGGGAGGUAGUGACAAUAAAUACUGAUGCAGAGCUCUUUUGGGUUUUGCAAUUGGAAUGAGUACAAUUUAAAUCCCUUAACGAGGAACAAUUGGAGGGCAAGUCUGGUGCCAGCAGCCGCGGUAAUUCCAGCUCCAAUAGCGUAUAUUAAAGUUGUUGCAGUUAAAAAGCUCGUAGUUGAAACUUGGGCCUGGCUGGCCGGUCCGCCUCACCGCGUGCACUGGUCCGGCCGGGNCUUUCCUUCUGGGGAGCCGCAUGCCCUUCACUGGGCGUGCCGGGGAACCAGGACUUUUACUUUGAAAAAAUUAGAGUGUUCAAAGCAGGCCUAUGCUCGAAUACAUUAGCAUGGAAUAAUAGAAUAGGACGUGUGGUUCUAUUUUGNUGGUUUCUAGGACCGCCGUAAUGAUUAAUAGGGANAGUCGGGGGCAUCNGUAUUCAACUGUCAGAGGUGAAAUUCUUGGAUUUGNUGAAGACUAACUACUGCGAAAGCAUUUGCCAAGGANNNUUUCANUAAU